rnacentral:rRNA from 1 species
GAGAGGUUGAUCGGCCACAUUGGGACUGAGACACGGCCCAAACUCCUACGGGAGGCAGCAGUAGGGAAUCUUCCACAAUGGGCGAAAGCCUGAUGGAGCAACGCCGCGUGGGUGAAGAAGGUCUUCGGAUCGUAAAACCCUGUUGUUAGAGAAGAAAGUGCGUGAGAGUAACUGUUCACGUUUCGACGGUAUCUAACCAGAAAGCCACGGCUAACUACGUGCCAGCAGCCGCGGUAAUACGUAGGUGGCAAGCGUUAUCCGGAUUUAUUGGGCGUAAAGGGAACGCAGGCGGUCUUUUAAGUCUGAUGUGAAAGCCUUCGGCUUAACCGGAGUAGUGCAUUGGAAACUGGGAGACUUGAGUGCAGAAGAGGAGAGUGGAACUCCAUGUGUAGCGGUGAAAUGCGUAGAUAUAUGGAAGAACACCAGUGGCGAAAGCGGCUCUCUGGUCUGUAACUGACGCUGAGGUUCGAAAGCGUGGGUAGCAAACAGGAUUAGAUACCCUGGUAGUCCACGCCGUAAACGAUGAAUGCUAAGUGUUGGAGGGUUUCCGCCCUUCA